ACUUAAAUAGUUCAUACAGAGCGUAACACUGAAGAUGUUAAGGAGGUUGUUCAAUCUUUAGGUA
rnacentral:tRNA from 1 species